rnacentral:rRNA from 1 species
GACAGAGGAUGCAAGCGUUAUCCGAAUUGAUUGGGCAUAAAGCGUUCGUAGGUUGCUUUCUAAGUCUUUUGUUAAAAACUGGGGCCUAACUUCAGUUCAGCAUAGGAAACUUGAAGGAUUGAGUGUGGUAGAGGUAGUAGGAAUUCCCGGUGUAGCGGUGAAAUGCGUAGAGAUCGGGAAGAACACCAGAGGCGAAGGCGUGCUGCUGGGCCAUCACUGACACUAAGGGACGAAAGCUAGGAGAGCAAAUGGG